UGCAAGUCGAGCGAUGAAGCUUCUUCGGAAGUGGAUUAGCGGCGGACGGGUGAGUAACACGUGGGUAACCUGCCUCAUAGAGGGGAAUAGCCUUCCGAAAGGAAGAUUAAUACCGCAUAAGAUUGUAAUAUCGCAUGAUAUAGCAAUUAAAGGAGUAAUCCGCUAUGAGAUGGACCCGCGUCGCAUUAGCUAGUUGGUGAGGUAACGGCUCACCAAGGCGACGAUGCGUAGCCGACCUGAGAGGGUGAUCGGCCACAUUGGGACUGAGACACGGCCCAGACUCCUACGGGAGGCAGCAGUGGGGAAUAUUGCACAAUGGGGGAAACCCUGAUGCAAGCAACGCCGCGUGAGUGAUGACGGUCUUCGGAUUGUAAAGCUCUGUCUUCAGGGACGAUAAUGACGGUACCUGAGGAGGAAGCCACGGCUAACUACGUGCCAGCCGCGGC
rnacentral:rRNA from 1 species